rnacentral:rRNA from 1 species
GAUGAACGCUGGCGGCGUGCCUAAUACAUGCAAGUCGAGCGAACAGACGAGGAGCUUGCUCCUCUGACGUUAGCGGCGGACGGGUGAGUAACACGUGGAUAACCUACCUAUCAGACUGGGAUAACUUCGGGAAACCGGAGCUAAUACCGGAUAAUAUAUUGAACCGCAUGGUUCAAUAGUGAAAGACGGUUUUGCGGUCACUUAUAGAUGGAUCCGCGCCGCAUUAGCUAGUUGGUAAGGUAACGGCUUACCACGGCAACGAGGCGUAGCCGACCUGAGAGAGUGAUCGCCCACAUGGGAACGUAGACACGGUCCAGACUCCUACGGGAGGCAGCAGUAGGGAAUCUUCCGCAAUGGGCGAAAGCCUGACGGAGCAACGCCGCGUGAGUGAUGAAGGUCUUCGGAGCGUAAAACUCUGUUAUGAGUGAAGAACAAAUGUGUAAGUAACUAUGCACGUCUUGACGGUACCUAAUCAGAAAGCCACGGCUAACUACGUG